ACCCAAAGUUCAGUGGUAGAAUUCUUGCUUUGGGUUUCCGAAUCUGAAAUGUAAGAGGUCUCCGGUUCGAUCCCGGAUUAGGCC